UGAUUUCGAUUAGGUGGAGAGUGCGCACGGGUGAGUAACACAUGGCUGACCUGCCCCGGCAGCGGGGGGACAACCACUGGAAACGGUGGCUAAUACCCCAUGGCUUCACGGCGUUUAGAAGGCGGUGAAGAAAACUGAGGUGCUGUGGGAGGGGGCUGUGGCCCAUCAGCUAGUUGGUAAGGUGACGGCUUACCAAGGCGAGGACGGGUAGGGGGCCUGAGAGGGUGACCCCCCACACGGGCACUGAGACACGGGCCCGACUUCUACGGAAGGCAGCAGUAAGGGAUAUUGCGCAAUGGGCGAAAGCCUGACGCAGCAACGCCGCGUGCGGGAUGACGGCCUUCGGGUUGUAAACCGCUUUUCUGCGUGAAGAGGAAGGACGGUAGCGCAGGAAUAAGUCUCGGCUAACUACGUGCCAGCAGCCGCGGUAAAACGUAGGAGGCGAGCGUUAUCCGGAUUUACUGGGUGUAAAGCGCGUGCAGGCGGCAGCGUAAGUUAGGCGUUGAAAGCGCUCAGGCUCAACCGGGCGAGGACGUGUAAAACUGCGUUGCUAGAGCGCAGGGUAGAAGCGCGUGUGGAAUUCCCGGGGUGUAGUGGUUGAAAAUUGCGUAGGAGAUCCCGCGAGUGAACACCAGUGGCGAAAGGCGAACACGCCUGGGGCCUGACCUGACGCUAAAGACGCGAAAGCAUGGGGAGCGAACGGGAUUAGAACCCCGGUAGUCCAUGCCGUAAACGAUGCUUAC
rnacentral:rRNA from 1 species